rnacentral:rRNA from 1 species
UACAGAGGUCUCAAGCGUUGUUCGGAUUCAUUGGGCGUAAAGGGUGCGUAGGUGGCGCGGUAAGUCGGGUGUGAAAUUUCGGAGCUUAACUCCGAAACUGCAUUCGAUACUGCCGUGCUUGGAGGACUGGAGAGGAGACUGGAAUUUACGGUGUAGCAGUGAAAUGCGUAGAGAUCGUAAGGAAGACCAGUGGCGGAAGGCGGGUCUCGUGGACAGUUCCUGACGCUGAGGCACGAAGGUCAGGGGAGCAAACGGG